rnacentral:rRNA from 1 species
GUGGGGAAUCUUGCGCAAUGGACGAAAGCCUGACGCAGCCAUGCCGCGUGAAUGAUGAAGGUCUUAGGAUUGUAAAAUUCUUUCACCGGGGACGAUAAUGACGGUACCCGGAGAAGAAGCUCCGGCUAACUUCGUGCCAGCAGCCGCGGUAAUACGAAGGGGGCUAGCGUUGCUCGGAAUUACUGGGCGUAAAGGGCGCGUAGGCGGACAGCUUAGUCAGAGGUGAAAGCCCAGGGCUCAACCUUGGAAUUGCCUUUGAUACUGGCUGUCUUGAGUUUGGGAGAGGUGAGUGGAACUCCGAGUGUAGAGGUGAAAUUCGUAGAUAUUCGGAAGAACACCAGUGGCGAAGGCGACUCACUGGCCCAAUACUGACGCUGAGGCGCGAAAGCGUGGGGAGCAAACAGGAUUAGAAACCCUUGUAGUCC